UGACGGGGGCCCGCACAAGCGGUGGAGCAUGUGGUUAAAUUCGAUGCAACGCGAAGAACCUUACCAGGGCUUGACAUGCCCGCGACCCCACAAGGGUCGUGCUCUUCCAAGAAAAGGGAAGAAGUUUUUUUUAAACGGACACAGGUGGUGCAUGGCUGUCGUCAGCUCGUGUCGUGAGACGUUGGGUUAAGUCCCGCAACGAGCGCAACCCUCGUGAGAAGUUGCCUAUUUUUAAUAGUGCUCUCUACUCAGACUGCCGGUGACAAGCCGGAGGAAGGUGAGGAUGACGUCAAGUCAGCAUGUCCCUUACGCCCUGGGCUACACACGUGCUACAAUGGCCGGGACAAUAGGAUGCUACCCCGCAAGGAUAAGCUAAGCCCCAAACCCGGUCUCAGUUCGGAUUGUAGGCUGCAACUCGCCUGCAUGAAGGAGGAAUCGCUAGUAAUCGCCGGUCAGCCACACGGUGGUGAAUACGUUCUCGGGCCUUGUACACACCGCCCGUCACACUAGGGGAGCUGGCUCUGCUCUAAGUCGUGACUCUAACCGUGAGGAGGAGAACGCCAAAAGCAGGGCUCGUGACUCGAGUGAAGUCGUAACAA
rnacentral:rRNA from 1 species